rnacentral:rRNA from 1 species
UACGGGGGGGGCAAGCGUUGUUCGGAAUUACUGGGCGUAAAGGGCUCGUAGGCGGCCAACUAAGUCAGACGUGAAAUCCCUCGGCUUAACCGGGGAACUGCGUCUGAUACUGGAUGGCUAGAGGUUGGGAGAGGGAUGCGGAAUUCCAGGUGUAGCGGUGAAAUGCGUAGAUAUCUGGAGGAACACCGGUGGCGAAGGCGGCUCUCUGGACCAGCACUGACACUGAGGCACGAAAGCGUGGGGAGCAAACAGG